CCUACGGGUGGCUGCAGUCGAGAAUCUUCGGCAAUGGGCGCAAGCCUGACCGAGCGAUGCUGCGUGCUGGAUGAAGGUCUUCGGAUUGUAAACAGCUGUUGGGGGGGAUGAAGUGCAUGGGAGCUAUCUCCUGUGUUUGACAGAGCCCCAGAGAAAGCGCGGGCUAAGUUCGUGCCAGCAGCCGCGGUAAUACGAACUGCGCGAACGUUAUUCGGAUUCACUGGGCUUAAAGGGUGCGUAGGCGGCUUGUUAAGUGGGAUGUGAAAUUUUGCGGCUCAACCGUAAGACUGCAUCUCAUACUGGCAAGCUGGAGUGAGUCAGGGGUGUGUGGAACUGCCAGUGGAGCGGUGAAAUGUGUUGAUAUUGGCAGGAACGCCGGUGGCGAAAGCGACACACUGGGGCUUAACUGACGCUGAGGCACGAAAGCCAGGGGAGCAAACGGGAUUAGAUACCCCUGUAGUC
rnacentral:rRNA from 1 species